rnacentral:ncRNA from 2 species
UAUCGCCGAGGGAAUGAAGUUCUCCCGAAGCACCGGGGCAUAAGCCCCGUGCCUGAACCGCUUAUAAAAGCUGAUGACUUCUGCAUUAUU